rnacentral:tRNA from 2 species
AGGGGAGUAGCUCAGUUGGUAGAGCUUCGGACUCCAAAUCCGACGGUCGCGGGUUCGAUUCCUGUCUCCCCUGCCA